rnacentral:rRNA from 1 species
CCUGGGAAACCGAACCCGGGGACCCGCAAGGCCUGGCGCUUGAAGAGGAGCCCGCGUCCGAUUAGCUAGUUGGCGGGGUAAUGGCCCACCAAGGCGACGAUCGGUAGCCCGGCCUGAGAGGGCGGACGGCCACACUGGGACUGAGACACGGCCCAGACUCCUACGGGAGGCAGCAGUGGGGAAUUGUUCACAAUGGGCGCAAGCCUGAUGACGCAACGCCGCGUGGGGGAUGAAGGCCUUCGGGUCGUAAACCCCUGUCGAAUGGGACGAAUAGCCCGCGAUUUAACAAAACGCGGGAAUGACGGUACCGUUAAAGGAAGCCACGGCUAACUCUGUGCCAGCAGCCGCGGUAAUACAGAGGUGGCAAGCGUUGUUCGGAAUUACUGGGCGUAAAGGGCGCGUAGGCGGCCUUCUAAGUCAGACGUGAAAUCCCCCGGCUUAACCUGGGAACUGCGUCUGAUACUGGGAGGCUUGAGUAUGGGAGAGGGAUGUAGAAUUCCAGGUGUAGCGGUGAAAUGCGUAGAUAUCUGGAGGAAUACCGGUGGCGAAGGCGGCAUCCUGGACCAUAACUGACGCUGAGGCGCGAAAGCUAGGGGAGCAAACGGGAUUAGAUACCCCGGUAGUCCUAGCCCUAAACGAUGAAUACUUGGUGUGGCGGGUAUCGAUCCCUGCCGUGCCGAAGCUAACGCAUUAAGUAUUCCGCCUGGGGAGUACGGUCGCAAGGCUGAAACUCAA